GAGUUUGAUCCUGGCUCAGAUUGAACGCUGGCGGCAUGCCUUACACAUGCAAGUCGAGCGGGCAGCGCGGGGGCAACCCUGGCGGCGAGCGGCGAACGGGUGAGUAAUACAUCGGAACGUGUCCUGUCGUGGGGGAUAACCAGUCGAAAGACUGGCUAAUACCGCAUGACCUCGUAAGAGAAAAGCGGGGGAUCGCAAGACCUCGCGCGAUUGGAGCGGCCGAUGUCGGAUUAGCUAGUUGGCGGGGUAAAAGCCCACCAAGGCGACGAUCCGUAGCUGGUUUGAGAGAACGACCAGCCACACUGGGACUGAGACACGGCCCAGACUCCUACGGGAGGCAGCAGUGGGGAAUUUUGGACAAUGGGGGCAACCCUGAUCCAGCCAUGCCGCGUGUGUGAAGAA
rnacentral:rRNA from 1 species